UUGGAGGGCAAGUCUGGUGCCAGCAGCCGCGGUAAUUCCAGCUCCAAUAGCGUAUAUUAAAGUUGUUGCAGUUAAAAAGCUCGUAGUUGAAUUUCGGGAUCAAAUUGUCGGUCGUGCCUCGGUACGCACUGGUAUUAUUGGUUCCUACCUUCUGAAGAACCGCGAUGUCAUUAAUUUGGUGUCGUGGGGAAUCAGGACUGUUACUUUGAAAAAAUUAGAGUGUUUAAAGCAGGCUUGCGCUUGAAUACAUUAGCAUGGAAUAAUGAAAUAGGACGUUUGAUUCUAUUUUGUUGGUUUCUAGGAUUGACGUAAUGAUUAAUAGGGAUAGUUGGGGGCAUUAGUAUUCAAUUGUCAGAGGUGAAAUUCUUGGAUUUAUUGAAGACUAACUACUGCGAAAGCAUUUGCCAAGGAUGUUUUCAUUAAUCAAGAACGAAAGUUAGGGGAUCGAAGACGAUCAGAUACCGUCGUAGUCUUAACCAUAAACUAUGCCGACUAGGGAUCGGAUGAUGUUAAUUUUUUAAUGACUCAUUCGGCGCCUUACGGGAAAC
rnacentral:rRNA from 1 species